CUACCCGCUGAAUUUAAGCAUAUUAAUAAGCGGAGGAAAAGAAACUAACAAGGAUUCCCCCAGUAACGGCGAGUGAAGCGGGAAGAGCUCAAAUUUGAAAUCUCCGAUGCUUGCAUCGGCGAGUUGUAGUUGCGAGAAGCACUUUCUAGGCGGAGGGGCCCUGCCUAAGUUGCUUGGAACGGCACGUCGCAGAGGGUGA
rnacentral:rRNA from 1 species